GUGAGUCAUCGAAUCUUUGAACGCACCUUGCACCUUUUGGUAUUCCGAAAGGUACACCCGUUUGAGUGUCAUUGUAAUCUCACUCCUUCAACUUUGUUGUUGCUGGAUGUGGACUUGGACUCUGUCGUGUUACAACGACUGGUCUGAAAUGCCUGAGUGCACCCUGCUGUUGCAGCGCCUUCAGUGUGAUAAGCAUCUUCACUGAUUCAAGUUCCUUCGGGACACGUAGCAUUGUGGGCUCUGUGCUGACAAACCGUCCUCGGACAAUCUUUGACAAUUUGACCUCAAAUCGGGUGGGAC
rnacentral:misc_RNA from 1 species